AGUGAACGCUGGCGGCGUGCUUAACACAUGCAAGUCGAACGAGAACGGAUUUUAGCUUGCUAAAAUUGUCAGCUAAGUGGCGCACGGGUGAGUAAUAUAUAGGUAAUGUGCCCCUUACAAAGGAAUAACAGUUGGAAACGACUGCUAAUGCCUUAUAUGCCUCUAUCACAUAAGUGAGCGAGGGAAAGUUUUUUCGGUAAGGGAUCGGCCUGUACGGUAUCAGUUAGUUGGUGAGGUAAUGGCUCACCAAGACAAUGACGCCUAACUGGUUUGAGAGGAUGAUCAGUCACACUGGAACUGAGACACGGUCCAGACUCCUACGGGAGGCAGCAGUGGGGAAUAUUGCACAAUGGGGGAAACCCUGAUGCAGCAACGCCGCGUGGAGGAUGACACAUUUCGGUGCGUAAACUCCUUUUAUAAUAGAAGAUAAUGACGGUAUAUUAUGAAUAAGCUCCGGCUAACUCCGUGCCAGCG
rnacentral:rRNA from 1 species